AAUCCGUCGACUUUAUAAAUCGUGAGGGUUCAAGUCCCUCUAUCCCCCCA
rnacentral:tRNA from 1 species